UACGGAGGGUGCAAGCAUUGAUCGGAAUUACUGGGCGUAAAGGGCGCGUAGGCGGUUAAGAAAGUCAGAUGUGAAAUUCCGGGGCUCAACCCCGGAGCUGCAUUUGAAACUUCUUGACUAGAGUUCAGUUAGGGUAAACGGAAUUCCACGUGUAGCGGUGAAAUGCGUAGAUAUGUGGAAGAACACCGGUGGUGAAGACGGUUUACUGGGCUGAGACUGACGCUGAGGCGCGAAAGCAUGGGGAGCAAACAGG
rnacentral:rRNA from 1 species